rnacentral:rRNA from 1 species
UACGUAGGUGGCAAGCGUUGUCCGGAUUUACUGGGCGUAAAGAGCGCGCAGGCGGUCGUGCAAGUCGCGUGUGAAAGCCCCCGGCUCAACUGGGGAGGGUCACGCGAUACUGUUCGACUCGAAGGCAGGAGAGGGAAGCGGAAUUCCCGGUGUAGUGGUGAAAUGCGCAGAUAUCAGGAGGAACACCGGUGGCGAAGGCGGAUCUCUGGGCCUUACCUGACGCUCAGGCGCGAAAGCUAGGGGAGCGAACAGG